GGGUUAGUAGGUUGGUCAUGCCUCCGGUAUGUACUGGUCUCACUGAUUCCUCCUUCCUGAUGAGCCGUAAUGCCAUUAAUUUGGUGUUGCGGGGAAUUUGGACUGUUACUUUGAAAAAAUUAGAGUGUUUAAAGCAAGCUUACGCUUGAAUACAUUAGCAUGGAAUAAUGAAAUAGGACAUCAGAUUCUAUUUUGUUGGUUUCUAGGAUCACCGUA
rnacentral:rRNA from 1 species